AGGUGCGUUCAUACCAGCACUGAUGCACCGGAUCCCAUAAGAACUCCACAGUUAAGUGUGCUAGGGCGAGAGUAGUACUAUGAUGGGUGACCUCCUGGGAAGUCAUUGUGUUGCUGUCUCCCACCUUUUGUUUUCUUUCUAGAAAAUAUUAACACUUCUAUAAAUUUUUCCCUUUUUUUCUUCUUCUAGAAAAUAGUAAGACUUCUAUAUGUUUUUAUUUUUUUGUUAAUUGUUGAAGUUUUAUAUUUUUCGCAACGAACAAACACAUAUAUACAAUUAGAGCGUAUUACUCUCAGGUGCGUUCAUACCAGCACUGAUGCACCAGAUCCCAUCAGAACUCCGCAGUUAAGGGUGCUAGGGCGAGAGUAGUACUAUGAUGGGUGACCUCCUAGGAAGUCAUUGUGUUGCUGUCUC
rnacentral:lncRNA from 1 species